rnacentral:rRNA from 1 species
GACAGAGGUGCCGAGUGUUAGGCGGAAUCACUGGGCUUAAAGCGUGUGUAGGCGGAUGCCUAAGUACCUUGUGAAAUCCCACGGCUCAACCGUGGAACUGCUUGGUAUACUGGGUGUCUUGAGCUAUCUAGGGGCAACUGGAACAAACGGUGGAGCGGUGAAAUGCGUAGAUAUCGUUUGGAACGCCAAUGGUGAAAACAGGUUGCUGGGGAUAUGCUGACGCUGAGACACGAAAGCCAGGGGAGCAAACAGG